rnacentral:rRNA from 1 species
UACAGAGGGUGCGAGCGUUAAUCGGAAUUACUGGGCGUAAAGCGCGCGUAGGCGGCUUUCAAGUCGAUUGUGAAAUCCCCGGGCUUAACCUGGGAACUGCAGUCGAGACUGUCUAGCUAGAGUAUGGGAGAGGGAAGUGGAAUUCAGGUGUAGCGGUGAAAUGACGUAGAUAUACUGAAGGAACAUCAGUGGCGAAAGCGACU